GACAUCAGCAGCCACGGUAAUACGGAGGGUGCAAGCGUUAAUCGGAAUUACUGGGCGUAAAGCGUGCGCAGGCGGUUAUAUAAGACAGAUGUGAAAUCCCCGGGCUCAACCUGGGAACUGCAUUUGUGACUGUAUAGCUAGAGUACGGCAGAGGGGGAUGGAAUUCCGCGUGUAGCAGUGAAAUGCGUAGAUAUGCGGAGGAACACCGAUGGCGAAGGCAAUCCCCUGGGCCUGUACUGACGCUCAUGCACGAAAGCGUGGGGAGCAAACAGGAUUAGAUACCCCAGUAGUCCCUGUCUCUUAUAC
rnacentral:rRNA from 1 species